rnacentral:rRNA from 1 species
AUUGAACGCUGGCGGCAUGCCUUACACAUGCAAGUCGAACGGUAACGGGCCUUCGGGUGCCGACGAGUGGCGAACGGGUGAGUAAUACAUCGGAACGUGCCCGAUCGUGGGGGAUAACGAGGCGAAAGCUUUGCUAAUACCGCAUACGAUCUACGGAUGAAAGCAGGGGACCGCAAGGCCUUGCGCGGACGGAGCGGCCGAUGGCAGAUUAGGUAGUUGGUGGGAUAAAAGCUUACCAAGCCGACGAUCUGUAGCUGGUCUGAGAGGAUGAUCAGCCACACGGGGACUGAGACACGGCCCAGACUCCUACGGGAGGCAGCAGUGGGGAAUUUUGGACAAUGGGCGCAAGCCUGAUCCAGCCAUGCCGCGUGCAGGAUGAAGGCCUUCGGGUUGUAAACUGCUUUUGUACGGAACGAAAAGCCUUCUUUUAAUACAGGAGGGUCAUGACGGUACCGUAAGAAUAAGCACCGGCUAACUACGUG